rnacentral:lncRNA from 1 species
GAAAAAAAAACAGAAGAAAUUUUUAACGAAUGUAAUGAGUUAGUAGAAUAUAUGAAAAAAAAAGAAACGAGGAUAAAAGAAUUUGAUGAACAUUUAAAAAAAAUGGAAAUAAAAUAUAAUGAGGAAAAAGAGAAAAAUGAUAUAUUAACGAAGGAUAAUAUAUCACUAGAUAAUAUAAAUUCUAAGUAUAAAGAAGAUAUUACAAUAUAUAAAAAUAAAAUGGAACAUAUGCAAACAGAGUUAAAAUUGAGAAUGGCGAAAAUAGAGGAGUUAGAAAUGAUACAAAGUAAUUUGAAAAAUGAUAUGCUUUAUUUAAAAUCGGAUACAUAUAAACAUGAAAUAAAUUUAAAAGAGGCACAUGAUGAAUUAAAUCGAAUUAAUGAACUAACAAUGAGAUAUAAAAAAGAGUUGGAAGAAUCGAAUAAAAAUAGUGAAAUUUUAAAAGAACAAAUUUUAAAUAGAGAUUACUUUUUAUAUUAUAUACAUGAAUCUUAUAAAAAGAAAAAUAGUUUUUAUGUAAACUUAAAACAACGACUUCAAGGGUUUAACAAAACAUUUUUAGAGUUAUGUGAAAUGUUUGAAAAAAGCGAAAUAAACAAACUGAAUGAAUUAUAUGAUAAUUUCGAAUUAAAUGAUACGGAUUAUAAAAAAAAUGUUUUAACAUUUAAGUUAAAUGAUAAAAACAGAAAUACACAUGAACCGCUACUACCUACGGAAGAAAUAACAAAUGCUAUGAACGCUAUCACUGAUUUUAGUAUGCAUUAUGAAGAAGAAAAGAACGAAAUGUUAAAUAGAAUUACGGAAUUAGAAAAUAAAUUAAAAUUAAAAAUGAUUGAAACUAAUAAAUUAUGUGAACAAUAUGAAGAUAACAUAAAAUCUCUUUUAUUAGAUCGAGAUGAACGGUUGAGGGAUUGUGUAUAUAUGUCAGACGAUUUAAAAAAGAAAAAUGAUGAAAUUGUGUUAUUAAUGAAAGAGUUAGGUGAUAAAAACAUAGAGUACAAUGAAUUACAAUUUAAAUGUAACUUUUUAGAUAGUGAAGUAAAAAAUUUAGAAUCCACAAAACUAACAUUAAAUGAAAAAUUAAUGGAGUUGGAAAGAAACCAAGAGGAACGUAUUGCUUAUUUUAAGCGGGAGAAUGAAUAUUUAAAAGAAGACACAGUGAACUUCCAAAAUGUACUUCAGCUUAUUGACAACGAAAUGAAUAAAUUGAAAGAAGAAAUAAACGAACUACGAGAAGAAAAAUAUAAUUAUGAAAAUAAAAUUGAUAAAUUAAAAGAAUUGUUAGAAGAAGAAAAACGAAUGAAUGAUAUGUUAAAAG